UAAGAGAUCGAAUUAAGAAGUUAGUUGGCUGCUGCGGCUGCGUGACCCGACAAUCUGAUUUCAUCUGACUUCAAAUCUCUUGGUAGAUAACACAGGUAACAAGACCACCUUUAUAACAAAAAACCACAGGAAGGUGUUUGACUUCACUCUCAUCUCUGACUCAAAAAAUACUGAUAUAUAUAAACAGUCAUUAGCUUCGACACCAACAUUCCAAUCAAUUACCUAAACUAUCGAAAGCUAAACUAAAUAUCCUAGGCAGAUUCAUACCAGAGAACCCUCAAAUUUUUUCAAAGCUUUAUGAUUCGCCCUAGUAAAGGUGCCUAAAAUAUUGUAGAUUCAAAUAAUUCUAGCCUAAACAAUUAUGUCCGAUUAGAGCAACCAGGGGAACCAAGAAAAGAAAGCCACCUAGGUAGUCUUCCGAACUUGGAGACCUCAGAAAAAGCGCGCGCAAGUUUUUAAAUCUAGCCAAAUCACUCACAUAACAAUGAGGAGUCAUGGCAAUAAUACAAAGUCAGUUUCGCAGUCUACAACAGGCGCAGUAUUUCACUAACGUAGAGGGUACAUACAAGGCAUUACACUUACUCAGAACUCCAACUUAUGUGGGUGUGCUUGAUGUAGCACUCUGACAGUUCAUAGACAACCUUUUGCGAAGAGUCAAUAGAAGUCCUCUUUGAAGUCCAUUUCCCAGGUUGUCAUCGUGGAAUAGUGGACACGGAGUGAUCGGGGAAGCUCAAUUCUCGUCUAUCUCCCUAGCAGAAGGAACAUUAAAUGGGCUGUUAACAGUUUCAUGCCCUUUAAGUCCGGAUGUCUAGAUGGAAUCAUACCCGCUCGGCUCGCCAUCCCCGAAAAAUACUCGCUAAACUGGCUCCGCCAGACUUUCAAAAUUAUCUUAGAUACCGGUAUUAACACGGAAAUGUGGCUACGCAGCAAGGUGGUGUUCAAUCCUAAAGCGGGGUAUCCCUCUCACUGCACCCGCAAAGACUUCAGACCGAGCAGUCUCUCAUCGUUUAUGCUAAAAACAGCUUGAAAGACUAAACGAUCGUCAUAUACAAAACCAAAUCCCACAAGUUAAGGGUUUAGAGCUCGUAUAUAAUGUCGGUUCACCUAAUCCUGAGGAGCUUCAGGGGAAAAGCAGGGACAGGCCAAACGGCUAACGACGAGGACAAAUAAGGCUCUCGGGUCUAGUUCGGGAUAAAUUAACAAUAAAAAAAAGAGCCACAUCUGGGCUAUACAUAAAGGGCGAUUAUAGCAAGGGCCAAAGACUUCUCCGUCGGAGGCCAGCGGCGAUAAAGGUCCAAAAUGGAAAAACAGGCGUAAUACGGGAGUUGCGUAAUUGGGCAGACCGACAAAAAAAAUGGCGGGACUAGUACCACUGCGCGAUAUGGUUGCUGACGUUCCCAAAGCUGAGGUGGACGUAGUAGUCCGGAACGGACUCACCGGGAAAUGUUAGCGUCGGCGGCGACUAAGGAAGUAAUUAUGUGUGGUCCAAGUAUUUCCAACCGGGUCAAACGGACACCGGUUGCCUGCAGCCAAGUCGUGGCUCGUCGGCACACACACUUAUUUCGGGCUCCCUCCUGUCUGAUUGGCAAUAUGGCUGUGGCUGACUAAGAAAAUCUUCGCCAUUUUCUAAGCAAAACCUAGACGAUUUUCGGAACUGCAAGCGGACAAGAAACAAGGACAAAAAUAGGAUGACUAAGUGGAGAGUGAUUGGGAUGACGAGCCGAAAGCCAGAGAUCCCGAACGCCAACAAAACUUGCGGACAUUAUGACGUACCAAAAAGCAUCAUGGUGGCCAGGAACCCGGGGCACUCACAAAGUGGUGUCUAAACAGCUCUCGACGGACGAGCCGGACACAUCAGCGUCAACAUGAUUCAAAAUCCCGGCUUCCAAAACGAGGGGAGGGUGACGUCCCGCCGCCACAAUAAGCAAUAAAACAUAAAAACAAAACAUAAAAAAAGUGGUGGGUCGCUACCCCCGUAACCCUAGGCACACGAUAACAAUCGAUCGCUACACAUCACCGAUCAUCCAAGAACACACACGUUGUAUGACAGUUAUUUUUUUUUGGGAAAGGAGAGGCAAGCCGAUCUAAAGAGGGGCCGAAUUAAAUUUAA